rnacentral:rRNA from 1 species
UACGUAGGUGGCAAGCGUUGUCCGGAUUUACUGGGCGUAAAGGGCGUGCAGGCGGUCUGUUAAGUGCAGGGUGAAAGCUCCCGGCUCAACUGGGAGAGGUCCUUGCAUACUGGCGGACUUGAGGGGGGUAGAGGAAAGUGGAAUUCCCGGUGUAGUGGUGAUAUGCGUAGAUAUCGGGAGGAACACCAGUGGCGAAGGCGGCUCUCUGGGCCUUUCCUGACGCUGAGACGCGAAAGCGUGGGGAGCGAACCGG